rnacentral:rRNA from 1 species
CACGUAGGGCGCGAGCGUUUGUCCGGAAUUAUUGGGCGUAAAGAGCGUGUAGGCGGCCCGGUAAGUCCGCUGUGAAAGUCGGGGGCUCAACCCUCGAAUGCCGGUGGAUACUGUCGGGCUAGAGUGCGGAAGAGGCGAGUGGAAUUCCUGGUGUAGCGGUGAAAUGCGCAGAUAUCAGGAGGAACACCGAUUGCGAAGGCAGCUCGCUGGAACGUAACUGACGCUGAGACGCGAAAGCGUGGGGAGCAAACAGG